UGAAGCGAGCAGCCAGUUCCCCAGCUAAUGCCCUACGGCGGGGGUCCUCUUUUUCUGCCUUUCGAGGGAAGGCCCGAGACGGUUCCUCUGAAUGGGGUCCAGUAGCUGCCACUCCUCCCACGUGAAAACCACAGCCACAUCCUUCAAUGACAGUGAGUGAGACCUGCAACAGAAAAUUCCUAUUCAUUCUAAAGGGAUUAUCACUGUAAUUAUUAUUACUAUGAAGAUAAGCAUCAUAUUUCCUAAUAUUUCCUACAUGGCUCAGUUGGUUAAGCGCCCGACUUUGGCUCAGGUCACCAUCUCCCAGUUCACGGAUUCAAGGCCUUUAUUGGGCUCUACUGACAGCUCAGAGCCUGGAACCUGCUU